rnacentral:rRNA from 1 species
UCCCGAAAGUAAAUGAGCUACAAUUAUUCUAUUAAGAAUAUUAUAAAUAUGUUACAAAAAAUUUAAAAGAAAUAAUUGUAGAGAUUAAAUGUCUACGCAUUUACUGAUAUCUGGAUAAACAAUAAUGUAUAUAGUACAAUAAUAAGUAUUAAUCUUGGGAUAAGCUAAGAUUAAAGAAAUUAAAUAAUAUAAAAUAUAUAAUUUUUUUUAGGUUUAAUAAUAAUCUUAAAAAAUAACUGUAACAAGAAAAAACAAAUAUAUAAAUAAUUAUAUUAUAAAUAAUUAAAAAAAGAGAAUAAACCUAACUCUAUAUUAAAAUGAUAGCAUAAGUAAUACAAUAAAUAAUAAUCUUAAUAUAUAUAUAAUAUACCAAGGAACUCGGCAAAAAAAGCAACGACUGUUUAACAAAAACAUAGCUUCUUGAAUUUAUAAGAAGUUCCGCCUGCCCAGUGUAAUAAUUAACGGCCGCGAAAGUGCUAAGGUAGCAUAAUAAUUUGUCUUUUCAUUAGAGACUAGUAUGAAUGGCAUAACGAAGCUUAACUGUCUCCUUAUAUAAAAAUAAAAUUGGUAAAAAAGUGAAAAAGCUUUUAUUUCUAUGAAGGACGAGAAGACCCUAUAGAGUUUUAGUAAAAUAUAAAUUAUUUAUAAUUAUAUAUACUUUUAUUGGGGCAAUAUAAGAACAUACAAAAUCUUAAUAUAUAUAUACUUAAAAAGAAUAAAACAAACUACCUUAGGGAUAACAGCGUAAUCUUACCAGAGAGUUCUAAUUGAAGGUAAGGAUUGCGACCUCGAUGUUGGACUAAGGAAAACUUUAUAUGCAGAAGUAUAAAUCAUAAGCCUGUUCGGCUUUUAUAACCUUACAUGAUCUGAGUUCAGGUCGGCGUGAGCUAGUCCGGUUUCUAUCCUCAUAAAAAUAAAAAAUAACUUUUUAUUACGAAAGGAACAAAAG